rnacentral:misc_RNA from 1 species
GACAGAGGGUGCAAACGUUGUUCGGAAUUACUGGGCGUAAAGCGCGUGUAGGCGGUUUCGCAAGUCGGAUGUGAAAUCCCGAGGCUCAACCUCGGAAGUGCACUCGAAACUGCGUGACUAGAGUUCUGGAGAGGAAGGUGGAACGCUUGGUGUAGAGGUGAAAUUCGUAGAUAUCAAGCAGAACACCGGUGGCGAAGGCGGCCUUCUGGACAGUGACUGACGCUGAGACGCGAAAGCGUGGGGAGCAAACAGG